rnacentral:miRNA from 1 species
CUUGGACUCACUUUGUAGCCCAGGCUGUCCUUGAAUUCACAGUGAUCCUCCUGCCUCAGCCUCCUGAGUGCUGGGAU